rnacentral:rRNA from 1 species
UACGUAGGGAGCAAGCGUUGUCCGGAAUCAUUGGGCGUAAAGCGCGCGUAGGUGGCUUCGUAAGUCCGCUGUGAAAGUCAAAGGCUCAACCUUUGAAAGCCGGUGGAUACUGUGAAGCUAGAGUCCGGAAGAGGCGAGUGGAAUUCCUGGUGUAGCGGUGGAAUGCGCAGAUAUCAGGAGGAACACCAAUAGCGAAGGCAGCUCGCUGGGACGGUACUGACACUGAGGCGCGGAAGGCCAGGGGAGCAAAACGGG